rnacentral:rRNA from 1 species
AAAAAACAACGUCCUUUCGGGCGCCUUGGUUGAAUCAUAAUAACUUAACGAAUCGCUAUGGGCCUUGCGCCGGCGAUGGUUCAUUCAAAUUUCUGCCCUAUCAACUUUCGAUGGUAGGUAUAGUGGCCUACCAUGGUGGCAACGGGUAACGGGGAAUUAGGGUUCGAUUCCGGGAGAGGGGAGCCUGGAGAAACGGCUACCACAUCCAAGGGAAGGCAGCAGGCGCGCAAAUUACCCAAUCCCGAUACGGGGGAGGUAGUGGACAAUAAAUACUGGAUACGGGGCUCUUUUGGGUCUCGUAAUUGGGAAUGGAGAACAAUUUAAAUCCCUUAACGGAGGGGAACAAUUGGAGGGGGCCAAGUCUGGGUGCCAGCCAGCCGCCGGGUAAUUCCAGCUCCAAUAGCCGUAUAUUAAAAGUUGUUGCCAGUUAAAAAAAGCCUCGGUAGUUUGGAAACCCUUGGGGGUUCUGGGCUGGGCCCGGGGUCCCGCCUCCACCCGCCGAGGUACUGGGGUCCGGGCUGGGGACCCUUUCCUUCUGGGGGGGAAACCCUCCAUGGGCCCUUUCACCUGGGCCUGGUUGGGGGGGGGGGAAAACCCAGGGGAACCUUUUUUUACUGGUUGAAAAAAAAAAUUUAAGNAAGUUGGUUUCAAAAAGGCCAAGGGGCCCUUUUUGCCUUCCGNAAAUUACAAUUUAAGCCAAUGGGGAAAAUAAAAUUAAGAAAAUUAGGGGGACCGNUUGCCGGGGUUUCCUUAAUUUUUUUGGUUUGGGGGUUUUCCUUAAGGGGAACCCCGNCCCNGGUUAAAUUGGAUUUAAAAUUAAGGGGGAAUAAGGUUCGGGGGGGGGGCCCGUUCCAGGUUUAUUUCCAAGCCCUUG